AGAGUUUGAUCAUGGCUCAGAACGAACGCUGGCGGCGUGCUUAACACAUGCAAGUCGAACGCGAAAGGGACUUCGGUCCUGAGUAAAGUGGCGCACGGGUGAGUAACGCGUGGAUAAUCUACCCAAUGAUCUGGGAUAACAUUUCGAAAGGGGUGCUAAUACCGGAUAAGACCACGGAGUCUCUGGGCUCUGCGGUAAAAGGUGGGGACCUUCGGGCCUACCGUCAUCGGAUGAGUCCGCGUACCAUUAGCUAGUUGGUGGGGUAAUGGCCUACCAAGGCUACGAUGGUUAGCUGGUCUGAGAGGAUGAUCAGCCACACUGGAACUGAGACACGGUCCAGACUCCUACGGGAGGCAGCAGUGGGGAAUUUUGCGCAAUGGGGGAAACCCUGACGCAGCAACGCCGCGUGAGUGAUGAAGGCUUUCGGGUCGUAAAGCUCUGUCAGAGGGGAAGAAAUGUAUAGGUGCCAAUACCACUUAUACUUGACGGUACCCUCAAAGGAAGCACCGGCUAACUCCGUGCCAGCAGCCGCGGUAAUACGGAGGGUGCGAGCGUUGUUCGGAAUUAUUGGGCGUAAAGCGCGUGUAGGCGGUCUUUUAAGUCUGAUGUGAAAGCCCUGGGCUCAACCCAGGAAGUGCAUUGGAUACUGGAAGACUUGAAUACGGGAGAGGGUAGUGGAAUUCCUAGUGUAGGAGUGAAAUCCGUAGAUAUUAGGAGGAACACCGGUGGCGAAGGCGGCUACCUGGACCGAUAUUGACGCUAAGACGCGAAAGCGUGGGGAGCAAACAGGAUUAGAUACCCUAGUAGUCC
rnacentral:rRNA from 1 species